AACUUUUAAAAUGCACCCUAAAACAUAAGGUAUCCCCUGAUAGCCCUGAUCUGGGUGACCAACAUAUCCAAAAAUCACCCAGAUCAGUUCUGGGGUUUUCGAAUUCCAUGGAGGUCUUAGGUGACCAGCUACCCACGAGGCUCCUGCCCAAAACAGUUCCACAAGUUUUGGUGUUUUUGCCGGUCUAGUUCGAAAAGUCUCAAAAAGCGAAUAAAUAUAUGAACGGUUCCCCUGGGCUCCUAGCAGCGAUUGUUCCCCUCAUUCGUAUGAACAAAAGUAUAGAACAGCGCUCUCCUAGCGGUUCGGGAAAUGAAGAAGCAAACGUUCGCAUUUUGGGACCGGUGUUCGGGAAGUCUAGUGUCCGAUUUUUAGUUUUAGUUCCAGACACUCGACGACCAAGUCCCACUGCCUUUGUUCUUGCAAACAAGAUGGCCGCCGUUUUCUCAGGCACGUGGCGUUCGACCAUACGAACAGCGGGCGCACAGGUAGAGGUCUUAAACGAUGGUUUGCUUUGAAGUUAAUGAGCCAGGGGGGUCGUCUCUGUUCGGUAGUUACAGCUACCGAAUGAAAUAAAAUAAAAUAGCCUAAAUAACUUUGUGAUUUCUUCACAUCAGCCAUGCAGGCAAGGCCAGCUAAGGCAAGAGCAACGCAGUGAUGGAGACAAGGUAAGUUAUUCCAUUCUUGUUACUCCAUUCUGAGAGUGGCUGGAAACCUAAAUAUGUAGUCCAAUACUACAGUGUACCAUUAAUAUUUGUUAAUAUAAUCCGGGUGAGCACUUGUUAGUGAAAUUUUCCUAUAAUAAAAUCUUUAAUGGGAAUAUUGAGCAAUUAAUGUUUCUUAACACUGAAUAAUUUACUUUAUGCGGAUUUAUUUUUUCUUUCCAGCUUAUCCAUUCUGCUGGAAUAGUUUUUUUUGUUUGUUUUUUUUAAUAUGUGCGCGUUCCCCCCUCCUCCCAUUUCCGCAGAAACUUACUAAAAAAAUAUCAGUAUAUUUGCACUGUAUUGUAUUAGC